CUCUGGCCCUUAUCGAAGUCGCUCCUGUUCCCUCGUAGCAGGUGCGGUCAAAACGGAGCCUAGAGAACCACUUUUGCCGACGGUCGCUGUUCGGCUGUAAUGUAGCCGCUUCAGCAACACUAAGGAAAAGGACAACU
ensembl:snoRNA SNORA16A small nucleolar RNA, H/ACA box 16A